rnacentral:rRNA from 1 species
UGGAGCGACUGGUGACUGAAUAUCUAAGUAACAGAGGAAAGACGAAACGAGAUUCCGUAAGUAGCGACGAGCGAACGCGGAGAGCCCUUAAGCUGAUUUGGUUCUAGGAAAACGCUCUGGAAAGAGCGGCCAUAGAAGGUGAUAGCCCUGUAUCUGAAAGGGCCAUUUCAGUGAAGACGAGUAGGGCGGGGCACGUGAAACCCUGUCUGAACAUGGGGGGACCAUCCUCCAAGGCUAAAUACUACUGACCGACCGAUAGUGAACCAGUACCGUGAGGGAAAGGCGAAAAGAACCCCGGAGAGGGGAGUGAAAUAGAACCUGAAACCGUGUGCGUACAAGCAGUAGGAGCUCCGCAAGGAGUGACUGCGUACCUUUUGUAUAAUGGGUCAGCGACUUACUGUUCGUGGCAAGCUUAACCGUAUAGGGGAGGCGAAGGGAAACCGAGUCUGAUAAGGGCGCAUAGUCGCGGGCAGUAGACCCGAAACCGGGUGAUCUAGUCAUGCCCAGGGUGAAGGUGCGGUAACACGCACUGGAGGCCCGAACCCACUCCCGUUGCAAAGGUAGGGGAUGAGGUGUGAUUAGGAGUGAAAAGCUAAUCGAACCCGGAGAUAGCUGGUUCUCCUCGAAAGCUAUUUAGGUAGCGCCUCAUAUGUAUCCUCUCGGGGGUAGAGCACUGUUAUGGCUAGGGGGGUCAUCGCGACUUACCAAACCAUUGGCAAACUCCCGAAUACCGAGACGGGACUGUAUGGGGAGACACACGGCGGGGUGCUAACGUCCGUCGUGAAAAGGGAAAACAACCCCA